rnacentral:rRNA from 1 species
UACGGGGGGUGCAAGCGUUGUUCGGAUUUACUGGGCGUAAAGGGCGCGUAGGCGGUCAGCACAAGUCAGUUGUGAAAUCUCCGGGCUUAACUCGGAAAGGUCAACUGAUACUGUGCGACUAGAGUGCGGAAGGGGCAACUGGAAUUCCUGGUGUAGCGGUGGAAUGCGCAGAUAUCAGGAGGAACACCGGUGGCGAAGGCGGUUCUCUGGGCAUGUCCUGACGCUGAGGAGCGAAAGUGUGGGGAGCGAACAGG